GUGAUGGUUCAGCCACAUAUUUUGCAUAGCUCCCUCCGACAUCCUUGCUGUUCUGGAGUCAGACUGCCUGGAUCUGAAUUCUGACUCCACUACUUCCUAACUCUGAGAGGUGGGUGUAAUCCACGCAGUGAAAUACCAUUGGAUCCAUUGGAUGAGGACUCUGAAGAUGGCACAGCACCGUGAAUAAACCACCAUGUGACAGCACCUGUGUACUGCGAUUAUGAUCUCUUCCUAGGUUCCCAUCUGACUCAUGCUAGGACAACCCCCUUUCGGAGGCUAGCCACACUGAGGAUGGCAUGAAGAGAAAGCCUUGUU